rnacentral:pre_miRNA from 1 species
CUAAUACUCCCUCCGUUCCAAAUUGUAGGUCGUUUUGGCUUUUCUAGAUACAUAUGUUUUUGUAUGUAACUAGAUAUAUAUUAUGUCUGGAUACAUACAAAAACAUAUGUAUCUAGAAAACCCAAAACGACCUACAGUUUGGAACAGAGGGAGUACUAU